CAGAGGAGAAAGAGUUCAUGUUAAUCAAUUAUUUAAGUUUUAAAAAGAGGACAUGAUUGACCUUGCUGUUGACAAAUGAGGCUCCUACUGGGCUCUGCAACAGUCUAGCAGAGAGGAUAGGUCUGGCAAGAAUAAUGGGAGAAACAAAUCCUCACAUAGGAUUCAUUGAACUGAUGAUUCUUAAGUGUUUUAUUUAUGAAUUUAAUGUUUCUUCGGUCAGUGCAGUGGGUGCAACAUCAGCCUCAACCCAUAGCAGCCAAGCUCCUUUGCCUUGGCCCCACCUGUGCCAGUGUCAGUGCCUGUGGGGGUAUUUUUUGUCCACUUUAUAUACAGUCAAUGCUUAUACUCUACAAACUAUGAUGCUCUGUGUGUUCUGACCUCAACAAAAACAUAAACUUUUAAUUUAAGCUCCAGUAGCUGGUUUGUUAAAUCUGACCACAUAGGCCAGACUUCCUUCCCCAUGUUCUUCAGUGAGCCUUGGCUGCCCAUGACCCUGUGGCUGGUUUUCCUACUUUGAGUGACUUUUGGUUGGUACUGACCUCUACAGACCCUAAACACCCCACAAGAGCUGCAGAUGCUUUGACCCUGCUGUUAAGCCACAGUUCAACCCAAAGUUGCAUCCUUAAGCUGACCUAUGCCCACUCUGGUCAAUGCUCAUGUAUUCACACUGUGUCUCAGAUGGUGAAACUUUUUAAACAGGCUGUCAGCUGGUUGGUGUUUGUGGACUAGACUAAUUUCUCUUACAAAGACAGGGUACAAUUUUGUCUUUUGUCUUGGGACUUUGAAAAGAACAAACUCUGUGUGCCUGCAGGUUUGUUUUGGACUGUAAAACUGACAACACCAAAAUGUCCCUUCCAAGAUCAUCAUGAGAAACUUGAAUUGUCCAUGAAUCAGUACGGUGCAGAUGAUUCUGUCUGACAGGUUUUCUUGAUGGUUUUCUUCAAUGGUAUCUCCAAAGCUGUUUACUUUAACUCCCUCAAACCACAGGGAGGAUUUUCUUGGUGGGCUUUGUGGAAUAUAAUAUCCUAAAAUAAGAGUUUUGAUUUCUAGGUCAAAUAAAAGGAGAGGCUUCCAUCAUAUCAGCGAUGGCUGAUGGGAAAUAUCCAAUAACCACUUGAGUUAUUGUGCUGAGGGGAGUCUGUUUGCUGCCUGUUUCCAUGGUAGGAUGGAGAAGUGGCUGUCAAGGCUCAUCUGGGCUUCAAAGGAGUCCAUUGUCAAGGCUGGAAAGGUCUUUAGCAGUGAAAGGAAAAGAUCCAAGUUCUGAUUAAAAUUCAAGCUUGUAAUCUUCCAGGAUUCACUUCUGGUUUGAUACUGAAAACUCCCAAUCAGCUCUGACUGAUGACACAGUAAAGGAAUACCUAAAACACAGAAUAUCAGCAAGAGGAAUUUAGUUACAGAUUUUGGCUGGUUGUGAAAUAACCUGAAAGAAAAGUUGAUGGCUCUUGAUGAUAAAAAGGGGUAUAAAAAAACACAAGAGGUCAUUUUGUGUCUCUUUUAAUGCCUGUAAUGCCACGGGAGAUAAUUUUUGUAAAUGAGCAAAAGAGAAAGCACUGUAUAAACUUAGUCCAUUUCUAGUAAGUCAGCUGUUCAAAUAUAUUACUUUCUGAACCUAUGGACUACUUCUGUCUCUGGCCUUCUGCUUUACCGCAUCAGUAUGCCGGCCAUGAUGCUUCAUUCUGGGUCAGGUCUCCCUGAAAAAAAUGUAAAAACAGCUUUAAUCUUGACAGGCCUGCUCAGUUGUUAAACAAGGUUAAAUAAGUCAAUAUGAGUUAAACACGAGGUCAAAGGAAAAUGAUAAAUACUGUGCCACACCUCAUGUUUGUUGGAGUUUGUCCCAGUGCGAGAGCAGUUUGUCUGUUUAAUAUAUUGCACACAUACUGAAUAAUAAAAGAACCCAGAGGGACAACAAGUCUCUCAUGCAGCAGCUCUUAAUCAUUUUUGUAAAUUUUUUGGUAUCAGACCUAGCAUUGGAGCUCAGUAUUGCCACCGAUUGCCUAAAUCAAUUUGAUCCACAAGGUCUCAAUUCAAUUCCAUCCAAAUUCAGAUUUCAGCACUUCAUGUCGGUUCCUUUUGAGUUCUGGCAUAGGAACUGAUCAUUUCACACUGAUGCACAAUACACUGUCAGAAAGAGCUGUGGGCUGUGGAGUUAUGAUGCUGUUCCAUUUCUUUAUUCACUUUCAGGAUUGCCACUUUACUCAGGUAUUGCUGUGUGUCAGAAACACACAGCAUGGUUUGCAUAUAUUAAAGAGUCUUUGGAAACCAAUAUUUUCAUCACUACAGAACGGACAUACUGUAUAUCCUAGCAUAUUAAAGUUGUGACAGCCUCAGUUAGUUUUGGGGAAGUGCAGAAAGUCGGGUGGUGGCUCAGACAUGAUUACCUUCUUCACUAGAGCCUGUAUGACAUUGUAUAAUUUAGCUGAUUUGUACUGCGUAUCUGGUUGAGGUCAUGUUAAAUGCCAUUUCCACAACAUUUAACCUUGAUGUUUAACAUCUCACACGUGCUUACUUUUGUCCAGCUCUUCUCUGUCUUUGCAGUUUGUACUCCAAGGUUUGUCUGUCUGCAUUUACAUGAUUAAAUCAAGCAACGGUUACUUUAGGUGAUUAAACUGGACUACUGUAUUUGUCCCAGAUUAUAAGCACCAAAAAAUAAUCAAAUUAUCAAUGAAGCAUGUCUGCCUCUGCUAAAGUAGGUGGCUGCAUUCACCCUUUCAGUUUGUUAUUAGGCCAUCUCCUGGUUGACACAUGAAAACAGUCAAAACAGGUCAGCAAGAGGUUAACAGGAAGUAAAUAGACCAUGAAAACCUGCUUACUUUUGCAGCUUUGUGUUGUUGGUUUGUACAAUGGAAAAGCUUUUUGUAUGUUUGUUUUUUUCACAUCCUCUCUGGUCUGUUGAGCUUUUGUUUGCUACCCAGUUUCCUAGGAGCACAUUCAUGCUACUCAGUCUUAGUCUCAUGUGAACACUGAAGUGCGUGCUGAAGGCUUAGACCAGAUUCAGUUUAAUUGAACCGUAUACAUGAAAAUCGACCCCCGACCACAGUAACAUGUAUGUUAGUCUGGCUAUUAAAAGUAUAAUUUAGUGUGAUUUCAGCCAGACUAAUUUGUUUUCAUGUUUUUUAAAAGUCCAGUUUCAGAUGGACUAGGACAAUAAAUGGUAUUUUUUAAUGGAUUCUUUUAAACGCCAUGUUUGUUUUGGAUUACCCGCCACUUAUGUGGCCAGAUCAUUUAGCGUACAGCUGAUCCCAGAAUGUUAGCCAUUUCUGCUGUAACAAAGCAAAUUUCUCUAAUGUGAUAAAAAACAAUCUAAUCACAUUUCAUUACUUAACAUAAAAAUACUUUAACUUUAUUUCACUGGCAAAUGCACAUCUACUUAUUAUGCAUUUUAUGCUUAAUGUAGACAGGAAUUAAAUGUCUUUCUGGCACUUAAAUCACAUUUGUUAUGUCAGACAGGUAGAUGUGAGGUAAUAAUGUAUUUGAAUGCAUAAACCCUUGUCACCUCUACCUAUGCCAGAGCCCCAAAUGUGUCACUCCAAAGACUGGACAAGCCCUUGCACAGUGGCACAAAUCAGACAGUGGGAUCUGCAGACUGUUAAGUCUGCUAAAUAUAAGCAAUGGAUUUUUAAAGGCUUGAAGAAAACAAAGCCGAACUUUAGCUCCUGUCCCAGAAGGACUGUAAAAAGGUGACUCUCAAACUGGCUGGAGGAGGAUAAUGGUUAGUUACAGGACAAUAUGCAUGAGUAAAUCCACAAUGCCCAAGCACAACAACUGCACCAAAUCAAUGGUAAAAUGUUUUUUUCAUUGGUUCAGUUGUAGGUUAUUUGGUGUACAGCUCUCCAGAGCAUAUAUGGUUGUUGUUUUCUGGUUGAUAAUCAGGUAUCUUAGUUAUUUGAGGAGCCCUGUGAUUCAUACAAAUUACUCAAAUCAAAGUGAAACAUUUUUUUUUUUUUAUAAUAGUCUAGAAAAAAAAAUGGUUUCAUGCCAAUUUACAAAACAGCAGAAAAUUACACUUUGAGGAUAGAGCUUAGAAGCUUUUAGCAAUUGAAGCAAUUACAGGCUUUAAAACAAUUAAACUGAGAUGCCUCCAAGAUAUGGUGAAGGAAAUACAUUUUGACAAAUGCAAUUUAUUAGAUGCACAAUUUAUUCCAAGGAUUCAUUCUACAAUUGUCCCUCUUUUUGUCUUUUUUUAUGGGAGGAGAAAACCAAUUGUAUCCGUGUUUGAGUAGAUGAGAAACUGAUGUCUCAAUCAUGUGGCACAAAAGAUUAACAUCAGCCUCCUAUCCAGCUUGGUAUCGUGCAAAACAUGAUACUAAUGUCUCUGUGCUGCAGAUGAUGCCGUGUUUCUGCCUCACAGACCUCAUCUAGCUGGUUUCAUACGUGUCUUUACCACAUCAUUAACGAGUCAACGAGGCAGAAAACUGCAGUAGCCUCUGACAGACUGAAACAUGCAGCCCGGCAGGAAAGGGAAAAAUGGAAGAGAAAAAUUCAACUUCCAUCCCCCCAGGCUCUUAUUUCCUUUAGCACAGGGGUCUGACUUUUUCCUCUGCUUCUUUUUUCAGGGCUUUGUGGCUGCGACCCUUCUGACAUCCCUGCAACGUUUUGAUAGCAUCAAGGGGUUCUGUUUGUUUUUUACACCCCAAUUUUUUUCUAUCACCUUUUGCCACCACCACAAUCAUUCUUUGUAUUUGAGAAGAUUUCCCACCUGCGUCUGUGCCUGACACCACAAUUUCUCUUGGGUAAACAGCAGAAAGCCUUGUGGUUUUCACUGUGGGUGCUGGGUUAUUUUUCUGCUCUGCAGAUUAGGCAAAUAAGACAAGCAUGUUUCUAUUUAAAGCUCUCCUGCUUUCCAUAUUCUCUUUUUAAGACGUCAGGGUAAGAUCUGCAGGGGUUAUCUGAGGCAGCCCAGUGGAUCAUUUUCACGGUAGCGUCACAAUGACAAACUCUGAUCAAUUAUUCAUAUUAAGAUGCGUGUUUAAAAACACUCCCAUGUUACAGGGAUAUAGACUAAUAACUACAUAUGAUCAGAAAUACAAGUUCUGCACAAGAAAAGGGUGAAUGAUACUAAGUAACUUUCUCAAUUAGCAGCCAAACAUGCUGAUGAUGGAUGUGUUUAAAGUGUAAAAGAUUUUCAUUAGCAGAAUUAAUGAAACAUCAAGUCGGCAUAUAUCAAAAAAUGUAAGUCCUUCCUACAACUUUAAUUUGGCUUAACAACAGUCUAAAUGGAUCUUUAAUUGAUUUAAUUAUGUUGUGUAUAACACAACUCUCACUGAAACUUGAAAUUAAUUCAAGUUUAUUACUUUCUGCCUUUUUUUAUGUGCUGAUUGGAGAGCAGAGAGUGGAAAGAUCGCAGGAAAAGAGAAGUAAAAGGAUGAAACUGACAAGCAUCUACCACCAAACUCUUAUCUUGGACAGCCCAGAGUCAGUAUUAAUGUUGUGGGUGAUACAUGACUGAAUAUUACCUUUCUGUAAAUCCACCACUAUUUGUGAUGAUAAGUAGUAUAUCAAGUUUUCAAAUCCAAUAUCUCUGGUAAAACUACUGAAAUUUGAAUCAGUUACCUCAUGCCAAAUAACCCACAGCUCUAUCAGAUUUAUCAUCCAGCAUGACGGGCAAGGUUAUACCUGUGUGAGCACAGCACCAUCCCGUGAUAUAGAACAGUGCAUUAUGAUCAUUCAAGUGUCUGCUUUCUGUUUCUGAAGACAAUACAGGACAAGAGAUAAGUAGUGAGUAGCUGUCACUCCAGGUAGAUUAAGUUUGUCCACCAUCAAGACUAGUACAUCUAUCAUAAAGCCCCAAACCAUGAACUCACUUCCACUAAUCCAUCUAGAUUCCAAAUGGUGCAGCUCAUGUUAGCUCAUUGAAAUGGGUACUGCAGUCCAGUGACUGGGUAUAAUAAGUUAUUGCAAUAACCAAUAUGAGACCAAUUACAGGUCUAGUAUCUAACGUCAAAACUUUGGAGGGGAAUAUACAAGAUGCUACUUUUGGCAAAGCAUACUUCCUUAAAGCUGCUGUGAGGAACUAUUUGGUUAUUUUGGUUUUGGUGCCUCCUGUGGACAAAGUGAUGCUUCUUUUCAAAUGUUCAUGUGAAAGCAGUAUGUCAUACAAAAACCUCAUCCUUUUAUCCCAUAACCGUAAAUGUUUCACUCACUGUGAGUGUUUGAUUAUAAGUCUGGUUGCUAAUGGAUUUUUAUUUGAAGGUUAAACAAGGGGCAUCAGUCAUGUUUUCUGUCUGCUCCUCAACCAGUUACCCAGCUUAUUUUAUGAUUGAAUUCAGCAGAUGUCUUACACAUUGUUCCUUCAAAAAACCACCAGCUCCACAAUUUGUAAGCAGCAGCAUGGCUAUGGGUAGCCCCUGGUGGGCCUGCAUGCGCCCACUCGGUUGGCACACCAAAUCAGAAGGCCUUGGAUCUGAUAGCCGUGUGUGUGCUUGUGAAUAAGAGGCUAUGCAAUGCUAUUAAUGUGCUUGUUGAUGCCUGUUUUUAAUACCUUUUGAUAUGAUCUGCAUUCAGGCAAGUAAUUGCAAUGCUUUAUUAUAGUUAAAGGCGCUGUGAGGAGUUUUUAACUGAUGGAGAAAUAGACUAAAACUGAUAUUGAUGCCUCUUUGUGUCCUUUAGAAGCAAACAAGACCAUCAACAAUGAGGCAGACAAUUUCCCUGUGGUAGUUUUAAUGCUUAUGAAAAAACGCUGUGAGGAGUGUGAAUUGGGGGUAAGUGUCAGAGUAGAUGAUUGACAGUAAGCUGAAAAAUCAACCUUUUUUGACUUUGUGCUCAGCAAAUACUCACAGUGAGUGAGAAGUUUGAUUGUUACAAGACCACAGAAUGAGGUGUUUGUCUGACAGCACAACUUUUACAAGUACAGGACAAGAGUUAAGAGGUAUCUGCUUGUCUGUAGGGGGCGCUAAACCAAGCCAAGUUCCUCCCAGCAGUCUUGCUCAAUGAGUUUUAGGACCAAAUAAGAAGGACUGAUUUUAAAGUUACCAAGUACCAUUUUUUUUCAUAAUGUAGUAAUGUAUUUAACUGUUUCUUUUUGAUAGCAAUAAUUAUGCCUGUCAUAAGUUUUCAGUUAGUGUCCCAACACUGGAUGUAACACCUGAUGAGAAAAAGGGAAAAAAAGUUCUAUGCAGCUCCAGCAGCAUGUUUUAUUUACUGUACAAUAUGUCACUUGUAGGGACAGUCACCCUGAGAGUACACAGUUUCUCUGCCCUCUUAAAAGGUUUAUUUUUGGUUUGAGUACUGUAUUUUUACGGUAUAAAGUACAUUGCUUUGAAUAUAAAUAUUUAUGAGUCGGUAAAACCAGCUACAGUACAGUUCUUUCUAUGUGAUUCACUCUCUCUCAUCUAUGAAAUGCCUUUUGGUGCACAUUCACCUCAACAAAGGAGAAAUUUUCACUAACUUUACACCAUUAGUAGUGAAUGGCACUGAGUACAGAAGGGUUAGAAACAUAUCAAUCCAGUGAACAGAGACGAAAGUUAUACUAGACUGCACUUCUGGAGACAUUCAGAGAUAUUCAGACAUUAAAAUCUUUCUUUUAUCAUUUGUUUUUCUAAUGACAUCAAUUGCCAAUGU
rnacentral:lncRNA from 1 species